UGACCACCUGGAUUAUAUUAUACAUAUAACCGGGUUAUGGCCAUACGGACAGCCGGGUCAACUGCCG
rnacentral:sRNA from 1 species